GAUGAACGCUGGCGGCGUGCCUAAUACAUGCAAGUCGAGCGAACAGACGAGGAGCUUGCUCCUCUGACGUUAGCGGCGGACGGGUGAGUAACACGUGGAUAACCUACCUAUAAGACUGGGAUAACUUCGGGAAACCGGAGCUAAUACCGGAUAAUAUAUUGAACCGCAUGGUUCAAUAGUGAAAGACGGUUUUGCUGUCACUUAUAGAUGGAUCCGCGCCGCAUUAGCUAGUUGGUAAGGUAACGGCUUACCAAGGCAACGAUGCGUAGCCGACCUGAGAGGGGGAUCCGCCAAACUGGAACUUAGACACGGUCCAGACUCCUAAGGGAGGCAACAGUAGGGAAUCUUCCCCAAUUGGCGGAAGCUUGACGGGGCAACGCCGCGGGAGUGAAUGAGGUUUUCGGAUCGGUAAACUCUGGUAAUUAGGAAGAACAAAUGUGUAAGUAACUAUGCACGUCUUGACGGUACCUAAUCAGAAAGCCACGGCUAACUACGUG
rnacentral:rRNA from 1 species